CCAAAUGGAAAAUAUCAACUAGAGUUGUCAGAAAUUGUCUCCACAGUGAUAGAUUAACUACAAUUUACAGCAACUGUGACAGUCACAAAUUUCCCAUUGCUGUGUCAGACCACGGUCUUACACAUCAGUACCUUUCACCGUGUAACUGAACCAGUCCGAGGUGGUUAUAGCAAUCCCGCGGGUACAGGUCUGCAGUGAAACCGUCGAUUAGGGUUUCGGCUCCGUUGUGAUUCACCGCAGCCACAAUCGGGAAUUAGGGCGGCACGCCGAGCGCGGAUUUCUUCGUAGGGUUUCUCAUCUUUUUGAAACCCUCCCUGUUGUGCAUGCCUUCGAUCGGGAUAUGGUUUACUGAAUCUGUCAACGAGCAACCUGUACAAGUUUUCUCUGCACUGGCAAUUUGGCGGUGUCUCGGCCGAGGGAGUUGGACAUCCGGGCAUGUCGAAACAACGGCGAGGAUUUUCUGAAUCGUGCUACGGUCGAAUAUUUUGUCAGUGUGAUUGUCGUUUCUGACGGUGCAAGGAUGCCGCAGUUCUUCCUAUUUCCGUAUCAAUAGACUCAUUCAAGAUCUAGUCUAUGUUGAUAAGCGUGAUUGUGGUAUCUUCAGAGGCUUUAACAUCGGGUUCUUGUUCUUUCGUCUUGAUUACGCUACCUUCCCACGACUCGGUCUCCACGAUAGACUGGCAUAAGAGUGGUAUGGCUGCUCACUCUUGUGUUUUAUUCUUUCCUGUGUUGUGUAUAUGGCUUUUGGUCUUCGAUUAGUUCAGUUUUGAUUUUUUCUGCCCAUGAGUAAUCUGCAUGAAUCGAUGAAGGCGCUAGGGGAAUCUUCCGAUGAAGAGCGGGUAUCUGCGCAGCGCAGCGCAACGCUUAGACUUCGUGUGAGUUUUUUGCGAUGCCUUUGUUGCUAUGGUUUGGGUUGCAAUGGACAGCGAUGUAGCACUGUUAUGAUAUUUUUCUGCUGGUGAGGAAGGUCUUCAUUUUGAACACAACUUCUCCGACUGUUUAUUUUGAUUUUCUUUGGUUGAUCAGUCAACCCAUUCCGUGUGAAGUCAUUGUCACUGUCUGGGGACAAGAGUAGUAUGUCCGCUUAGGUUACUCCUUGCGCUUAUACUUGUGGUAGGGCCUGUAUGAGUGAGUCAGACAGGGUGCCCCACGUUGAGUUACCUGGCACGACAUUCAACUAAUAAUUUGUGCUUUCUUUGGUUACGAUUACUUCCAUACUUGUGCGGCACAAGUUCUAGCAAGGCAUCAGAGGUUCUAAGUUCUUCCGUGCAUGGCUUCCAGCUUGUGUAGGUUGGUUUUGCAUGUGACAUGGAAAUAUAUUCCUUUCUUGGAUUCUGGGGAGCGGAUCCAGUUGAAAGUCAUGAAAAUAAUAUGUUGCAAAUAUUUCCAGUGAUGUGAACUAUAACCUGGUAACCAAGUUGGUCUAGAGUGGUGACGGACACUCCCUUUCUUCCUUCUUUCUCACCAUCCUGUCUCGAUGUCUUCUAAUCAAUCGUCUCUGUCCUCCUCUCUCUCACACCUCGUCCACUGCAGCUACGUAUGCAGUUUGAGGCAAUGUCCGUCGUUAAGCCACCGCUGAUGCUUUAGCUAUGAGAGCUGAGGAUAUAUUGCAACAUGGACUGUCGCUCGAAAAUGGAAGCAUUGGUAAUGUGGUCGUGGUUUUAAGGCACACGGCUUACUAAGUUCUGAAGAGAGUCGUUUUGUGCGAGAGUGAGGUUCGAUGACUGGAAAUAUUACAGGAAUAAUUCAGUCGAAGAACGGUCGCUUUGUGUACUGUUCGUGUUUUCAUCUAACUUGUUCGCAUGAGUCUGAGUCUCCUAUUGGGAACUUACCGAUUCAUUUGUUCCUAGACAGGACCGCAUUCCUCAUUUUCAAAUUUAUUGAUGUAUGAAUGGAGAAUUAUUCGAGUAAUAUGAUUAGUAUUUGUGAUUCA